rnacentral:tRNA from 1 species
UCCCGGUGGCUCACAUGGUAAAGCGUCUGCCUGCAAUGUGGGAGACCCGGGUUCAAUUCCUGGGUCGGGAA